GAAGCAUCUUCACUCAAUUGGUGUCCACGAAUCAGGUCAGAUCCUGACGGAAGCAGCCUUAAGUAAGAUAUCAAUGUGGGUGAAGAUGCUUGAUG
rnacentral:SRP_RNA from 2 species